UUUUUUUUUUUUUUUUUUUUUUUUUUAAGGGCUGCAACCAUGGCAUUUGGAGGUUUCCAGGCUAGGGGUCCAAUCCGAGCUACAGCUGCUGACCUACACCACAGCCACAGCAACACCAGAUCUGAGCCACAUCUGUGACCUACAUCACAGCUCACGGUAAUGCUGGAUCCCUGACCCAAUGAACGAGGCCAGGGAUUGAACCUGCAUCCUCAUGGAUCCUAGUCAGGUUCAUGAUUUGCUGAGCCACAAUGGGAACUCCUAAGGCUAAUCUUAUAAAUCUGAAAAAAUAAUUUUGUUUUUCUAUAUUUGAGACCAUUUCUCUUUAACAUUUUUUUUUUAGUUCGUAAAGUACAAUAAUUAAAAUUCAUUUCAAUCAGGUACAAAGGAGGAGGAGGUUAAUGAGGAGGAGGUUAAUGUAACCUGUCCUCUUUAUGGUGUCCCUUAGGACAUUAUUUGAAAAAAUAGACAUGGAGAAUUUGGUGAAGACUGGAAUGAGAGGGAGGAGGAAGUGUUCUUUAUAUUCUUGGAAGAUUUUCUAGAAAUCGCAACCACCAUUUCACUUCUACCUCUACUUCUAGAACAUCCUCAGGCCACCAUGUUCAGUGGUAUUUACAUCAAAAACCAAGAAAACGUAUUUUGAUAAAGAACCCUGACAGUGGCAGGAAUCUGAUGCUCCCUAUAAUUUCAGCAGGAGAGAAUUUUUAGCUCCACCACCCCAUGACCCAGCAAGCGGUUAGGGUGUGCACUCCCCUCUCUAAAAGACACUGAUAACCGGAAUAAUACUCCCUCCAUAUCAGUGAAAAGGAGAGAGGAGCUAAGAAAAAACUGAAAAACAAAUCAUCUUCUUUUAUCAGAACUAGGUAAGAAUGAGGGAGAAAUAAAUCCAUCUAUCAGACUUUCAAAUGAUGUCUUUGUUAGCAAAGCAAUUCUGUUUUGCUUUGGAUGAAUAGACAGAAAAAAAUUGGGCAAAAUAAUGAAGUUGUAGAGACAGUGUUUUGGCUGUAACAGUGAAAAUGUUACCAGUAUCUUCCUUGUUGUUCUGCUGCAUUUGUUGAUAUUUAAGCCCUUUGGAAAUUUUAGUGCUGUUUUGAAACCCAGAACCCCAGAAUGUUUUCUCGGUGUCCAUAUUUCUUUCUAGGAUUUUGUUCAUUGGUGAACUUUAUGCAUUUUUAAAAGUUUGUAAUUGGCUUUGCCUUUUCUGCUUGUUUUUUGCCAGAUUGUUUUUAUCUGUGAUUUUGACAAUCAACCCAUGUCAGAGUUGAAUAGAAUCCUUCAUCACCAUCACCAUCCUCCUCCCCUUCCUCCUCCUCCUCCUCAUCCCCAUACCCUGGUGGGUGUCAUAGCUUAAAAAUCAAAGAACUUUCAUAUAUACAAGAAGUUAUUUUAUGUAGAUAUGACCUUUUUUCUUUUUGUUUGUUUGUUUAACAUUAUUAACAUAAGAAUUAUAUUUUAUUUAACCACCAGAGGGAGUCCCCAAGUCUGUGGAUUAGAAGAGGCAUGAGAGUAAAAUAGAUAAGUAGGAAAUUUUAUGUUUCAUGGUUGAAAAUCAACAAUUCAAACAGCUGUGUAUUAUGGCAUGUGAGCUCAUAUAUUGGCUCUUUUGUAUACAAAGAGCCUAAAACCUUGUUCUAAUAGAAAUGUCACAUCAUUUUAGUUAACAAUUAUUAAAUAAUAGGUCACAGGUGGGAUGGACUGGGAGUUUGGGGUUAGUAAAUGCAAACUAUUACAUUUAGAAUGGAUAAGCAAGGAGGUCCUAUUGUAUAGCACAGAGAACUAUAUCCAAGCUAUAUAUAGACUAUGAUGGAAGAGAAGGUAAGAAAAGUAAUGUGUAUACAUGCAUAACAGGGUCACUUUACUGUAUGGCAGAAAUUGGCACAAAAUUGUAAAUCAACUAUAAUAAAAAAUUAAAAAUAAUAGGCUAUGGGUUUUUUCCUAGGAGGAAAUUUUAAGUAUGCUUUUCCACAAAUAUUAUGUGGGUAUGAAAUUGAAAAGAGAAUUAUCCACAUGUUUCCUGCAGGUAGAGCAGGUCACGGCCAGGCUUGUUCUUUCCAGGAAUGAAGAGUCCUGGAUCUCCCAGAAACCCUUCCCUUUCAAAUGUCAAGCAACUUAUAAGCAAGGCUUCAAGUCACAUUUCCCUGUCACUUGCCAGGUGUCUUGUAGUGGGACAUUUCUUGGGAGGGGCAUUUCCUGGGAGCACUCUGGCUUUUACCUAUGGUCCCUGUAACUGACUUGAAAGUUUCUCACAGAUUGCUCAUAUGGUAGCGCCAUCAGCCCUAUUUCAUGGUCAUGACAAUUGUCGUGCACAAAAGUUCAGUAGAUUUCCUAAGGCAUUGGAGCAGACGAGGGAGAGACCUGGGAUUGGAUCCGGGACCCUUAGCUGCCUUGGUUGGUAUAUUGCCUUCCAUUGCUUCACAAGGCUAUGAGCUAGCCUGCUUCUUCCCAUUACAUUUAAUUUGAAUCAGGUAUUUUAAUUCCAUUCCCAAGGUGAAGUCAAUGGUAUUUCACCAUAACUAGAAUGUUGUCUUAGUAAAAAACAAAGCAGAAACUCUUGAGUAGUGGUGAAAUAAAUUCAUUCAGAGUCAGCAUUGAUACAUUCUUCCUUCUUUUUUUUUUUUUCUGGUCUUUUUAGGGCUGCACUCACAGCAUAUGGAAGUUCCCAGGCUAGGGGUCAAAUCAGAGCUGUAGCCACAGGCCUACACCACAGCCAACGCCAGAUCUGAGCCACGUCUGAGCAACACCCCAGCUCACAGCAACGCUGGAUCCUUAACCCACUGAGCAAGGCCAGGGAUUGAACCUGCAUCCUCAUGGAUACUAGUCAGAUUUGUUUCCACUGAGCUACCAAGGGAACUCCAAUUUUUGCUUCGCCACCUCCUUUAACCUCAUAUUCUCUCCAGACUGCUUAUGAAUGUAUUCCAUAUAUGUAUAUAUACACAUACAUAUAUAUACCUACACACACACACAUAUAUACAUACAUACACAUAUAUAUGUUGUAUCAACAAAUUUUAAUAAAGACACUGCCUGAAUAGUAGCAUUAUGGACCAAAAAAGGCAUUCUAUUUGUUGGCAUAACUGAAUUUUAACUAGGUAAUUUAAAAGCCAUUUGUAAAUGAGGUAAAAUAUUAAACACCUAAGGUUUCCCACGGAAGUCACAAGCUCUGUAACCCACAGUGAUUAUUUCCUGCAUCAGCGUUUUCACAGCUGUGGUCACAGGUGCCCAGGAAAUAUGCCACAGUGGGGCCCUGCAAUAUUCUAGCUCCCUCAGAAGCAUGGGACAUUCUGAGUGCUGUGUCCCCCUCCCCUAAUCCUCUCCUGGCCCUGCCACACCCUAAAAAGCUCCUGAAAUUCUAAGGUUCUCAACAAGCACAUUCUGUAACCUGAACUGAAAAACACAGAAGACUGCUGACUCCUCAGUUUACCACAGGGGGCAGACACCGACUGAUAAAGUGGUUAAAGAAACAAAUUCCCAAGGACAAGCAGGGAGCCACAAAAAUGGAGAAAAAUGAAAAGAAUAAAUUUAAAGACAAAUACCAUAUGAGAUCACUUGUAUCUGGAAUCUAAUAUAUGGCACAAAUGAACCUUUCUAAAUAAAAGAAACAAACACAUGGACAUGGAGAACACACUUGUGGUUGCCAAGGGGAAGGGGAAGGGAAUGGGAUGGACUGGGAGCUUGGGAUUAGUAGAUGCAAACUAUUGCAUUUGGAGUGAGUAAGCAAUGAGGUGCUUCUGUAUAGCACAGGGAUCUAUAUCUAGUCACUUGUGAUGGAACAUGAUGGAGGAUAAUGUGAGAAAAAAAAUAUGCGUGUGUGUGUGUGUGUGUGUGUGACUGGGUCACUUUGCUGUACAGCAGAAAGUGACAGAACGUUGUAAAUCAACUAUAAUAAAAACAAAUGCAUAAAAUACAUUUUCUGGAGCCACCUUUAACAGUGUAUCACAUGAGAUGGAAUUUAUUUUACUUUUUUCAAAAUAAACAACUCUUUAUUAGUGUGAAAGAAGUAGUAUCUUCAGGUUAGAAUUUUGGAUGAUUUAACAUUUUUCUGCAGGAAAAUACUUCUGGAUAGUGUAUAUCCUGGAUACCCUUUGCAUUUCAAAUUUAAUAUUUGAUGGAUGGUGUUCACUCAGAUGUUGUCAUCCCCCAAAUGAAUAAUACAUUUUUCGAAAAUAUCCUUCCCAAGCAAGAGAGCCCAUGGACAUUCAUUUUAAUUUCCCUUGCCAGUCAUUGAUUCUCAUCCUUUAUCAUACUUUUGAAAAACCUGAGCAGAAGUGCAUAGAGCAUUGUUAUUCUCAAUGAGAUAAGCUAUAUGCAAACAUCAAAACCCUCAAAUCUGCAGAAAGCAUUAUGAAGCAUCGCAUUACUUGUUAAUGCUCUGUAGAGACUUGUUUCUGCUCUCUUAACCUUGAUUUUUAGCAUGAUGAUGAUGAGCAUGGACACUGAAGCCUGACUGCUGGGAUCUGAAAUUCUACUUUAUCACUCACUGAGUUUACUGGAACAUGUUAUCAUUUCUCUGUGCCUCAGUUCUCUCAUCUGUAAAGUGGAGAUAAUAAUAGUACUUAUCUCACCAUGUUCUGCAAAUUAAAUGAGUUGAUAUUUGUUCAUUAUGGAUAUUUAUUUACAAAUAGAACAGUGCCUAACAGUGGUAUUUAUUUAAAUAAAAUAAAACAUGCCUAUAUUUUUUUCAUAGCAUCACUAUGUGCUAGGCCAAUAUUUUCGUACUCAUGAUUGGGUCUCUCUUUCCCCGUCCAUCCAGAAUGCUUGUAGUAGAAGUUCAUUUGACAGUGAGAUGAACUUGAGAGCUGUCUGGUCUCAGUUUUUUCAUCCAUGAAACAAUGAUAAUGAUCUUGUCUUGGGGGGCCCUCUUAGAUGAAGUGAGGUAGCACACAUGAAAAUCUUGGGAAAAAUUAUGGCUGAAAUAUGCACUCAAUAAGGGGAUGGAUGGGGAGUUUGAGGUUAACUAUUGCAUUUAGAACGGAUAGGUAAGGUGUCAUCCUGUAUAGCACAAGGAACUGUAUACAGUCUCUUGUGUUAGAACAUGACAGAAGAUAGUGUGGAAAAUUUUAUAUAUAUAUAAAAUAUAUAUAUGUGCCUGAGUUACUUUGCGGUACAGCAGAAAUUGAAGGAACAUUGGAAAUCAAUUAUACUUUAAUAAAAUUUAAAAAACCAAAUUCACAUUGAUAAAUAGAAAUAACUAUGUUCAAAGUCAUAAAAAAGCUCAAAAAACCCACAUAAAGAUUCAAGAAGAUAAAAUACCACAGAAACAAAACCUUUGUUAAAAGGGUUAAGUUGUCUUGGUUUUUACUGAUCAAUUCAAAAUAGAAAUUUUCAAUCUAUACUUUGAAGAGAAAUUAUUCAGACAGGAUUUUUUUUUCUUUUUUUUUAGGGCCACACCUGUGGCAUGCAAUUUCCCAGGCUAGGGUCAAAUCAGAGCUGUAGCUGCUGGUCUACACCAAAGCCAGAGCAAAGCAGGAUCUUAGCCAUGUCUGUGACCUACACCAUAGCUCAUGGCAAUGCUAGAUCCUUAACCCACUGAGCAAGGCCAGGGAUCAAACCUGCAUCCUCAUGGAUGCUAGUCAGAUUCAUUAACCGCUGAGGCAUUACAGGAACUCCCAGAGAGAAUUUCUGAAAAAUUUCCUUCCUCUGGCUUUUUCUUGAGUUAAACAGAAUAAAAAUUGCCCAUAAAUUAAUAAUGAGUUUUUACUUGUUGGAAUGCUUUGUAGAAAUACUGUGGAAUUUUACUUAGAUGCAUGUGAAACAAAAGGGAGGUACUUAAUGUGUUUCUUUCUUCUUUGUGCUACUCAGUAGUGGAGGAAAAAACCAUUCAUGGUUUCCUUCAUGAAGAUGAUCAGAGAAAUAAAUGAAAAAAAAAAAAGGCAAAGUAUACUUGAAUUAUUUACAUGGGAAAAGGAAGUAAAUUAUGUGGUGUGGAGUAAGCAUCAUCCUAAACUGAGAGAACUGAAUUUCAGUAUCAGGGAAAGCGCCCUAAAACCUCGUACCUUAUGGCAUGAUCAGUCAGUCACUCUGCAAAUAUUUAUUGCCUCUACAGAAGACCUUACUCACCUGUAGGCAAUUUCAGAUAAAGCCUUGAGAAUUGCCUUAAUUCUGGUGAAAAAGAAGUAUGAUGUUAGAAGUGGUGGCUUGCUAGGUGGUAGAACAGAUUGAAUUUAAGAAUGUAGGUUCUCAGGGCUGUCUAGGCCCACUGAAAUGUGGCAGAGUUUUUUGGAAACCUCUGAAGUGGGCAAAUGGAAGGAAAUAAGGCUCUGACAAAAAGUACAGUGGGCAAGAGUGACAUGUGGACAAUGGCCAAGAGUGGCAUGGAGAAUACUAGGCUGAGAAUGACUGUGUAGGAAGAGUUUAUUUCAAGGCAGUCCAUCAAGCAUCAGAGAGCCCUCACUCCAUCAUAGGGACUCCAUCAUUUAGGCAGACUGAUAAGGACAAAGCAGCACAAACACCUGCUAGAAAUGAUGUGGCCUUACUAGGGCAGAUCUCAGUUACUCAAACUGAGCUACAAGACAAUAGCUUAAAUUUAGAGAUAAGGAUGUAUUAUGUGGACAAGAUUAGAAAUGUCCAUACUUAGGGAAUGGGAAUGUUUUAAAACCUAGGAUGAGGCUGAACUUCCAGAUGACAGCCUUACUGUGCAAUGUAAUUCACACUCUUUUACCACUAUCUUAUGGUGAAUACACUUAAGAGCUUCAUAAGAUGAUUUUCCUUAAUAUCCUUCACAAAGGCACAUGGUAUAGGAAACCAAGUACAGUUCAGUAAAAGUCAAAGCAGGGCUCUUUGGUAUGUAUUCCAUGGAGGUAUAUGAUCUACUUUUAUGCCAAGGAAUUUUUGUUUUGUGUUGAUGAUAUCAAGAGUUAAGGAGCUGGGCCAUACACUCUUCUUAUGUUAAGAAGCUGGGCCAUAUACUCUUCUUAUGAUGCACAAUGGUUGGAUUCAGAAAUAUGCACGAGUGGAGUUCCUAUUGUGGCGCAGUGGUUAAGGAAUCCAACUAGGAACCAUGAGGACGCAAGUUCGAUCCCUGGUGUCGCUCAGUGGGUUAAGGAUCCAUCAUUGCCGUGAGCUGUGGUAUAGGUUGCAGACGCGGCUCGGAUCCUGUGUUGCUGUGGCUCUGGCGUAGGCCAGUGGCUGCAGCUCCGAUUAGACCCCUAGCCUGGGAACUCCAUAUGCCGAGGGAACAGCCCCGGAAAAGGCAAAAAGACAAAAAAAAAAAAAAAAAAAAAAAAAAAAAAAAAAGAAAUAUGCAUGAGUAUGGAAAGAGGAUAGGAAGUGAAAUAUUUUUAUUACUUAAAUCAGGAGUGGAAUGAUGCAGGCAAAGUAGACUUGUAGGAUGACACCUGAAUUGCUUUUCUCUUUUUCAGACAUGUGGUUUGGGGCUCCACCAAUAGAUUUAGAAGGUGGCAGGAUUUGUUGUGGUCAUAGGCAGUUCAAACCAAGUGGAGAGUUGAAAGCAUGAAGAUUGGCUCCUGAUGCAGAUAGACCCCAGUGUUGCCAUGCCCUCUCUCUGGUAUGAGCAGCCAGUUAGCCAUAGCCUGUUACUCAGAGACAACAGGGAAGAAUUAGUAGAGAGGCAAAGGCACUGCUUGAAUUAUGCAGGGAUCUGAUAACCUCACUUUUUUUCUGAGGACAACUGGAUCUAUGACCUAAAAUAUGUUUUCAAAAGGUUAAUAUCAUAACCCAGCAGGGCAUAAGAAUUAACCCUCCAUUGCUAGAUGCCUGGGAACAAAACAGAAAAAUAGUAUUUUUGAGAAAUAAUAUUGCCACUGAAAAAUCCCAUACCAGGCAGAUUAUUGGUCAUGUGAUUUGGCAACAGAAAUUUCUUUUCUCGUAUGCAGACUUUCAGAAAAUACACUGUCAACAUUCACUUCUGAUUAAAAAAACAAACAAACAAAAAUUUACCAAAUAAGAGAUUAAUUAAAAUAGAGAUCACAAAAAUGAGGAAGUUGUGGUAUAAAAUGUCAGCCAGUAAGCCUUGAAACUAUUUGAACAUUGCUUUAUUUGAGCAACAGCUUAAAAAUUCAUGCAAGUAUUUUAAAAAAUUUAAGGGAAGCUGCAUAUUAUGCAUUAAUACCAAAUGGGACCUAAGAAUGCAGAUGAUCUUUUAUUAAAAAGAGGUGGAAUGGGGUUGAUGGCAGGAGAUGAGGAAGUAAAGCCUGCUAGGUUUCUCAUCUUUCAUAGAGGUCAAUAGAUGUUUUCUAUCUAUCUAUCUAUCUAUCUAUCUAUCUAUCUAUCUAUCUAUCUAUCUCUAUUUAUCUAUCUAUCUUUCUUAGUACAUUUUAAAUGUGAAUUUUAAGUAAUCACUAGAAACAUAAAAAGAGGGUGGCAAAAACAGAAACUAAGCAAAAACAGUAUCUGUAUAGAGAAA
rnacentral:lncRNA from 1 species